rnacentral:rRNA from 1 species
CCUACGGGUGGCAGCAGUGAGGAAUAUUGGUCAAUGGCCGAGAGGCUGAACCAGCCAAGUCGCGUGAGGGAAGACGGCCCUACGGGUUGUAAACCUCUUUUGUCGGGGAGCAAAGCGAACCACGUGUGGUUCAUUGAGAGUACCCGAAGAAAAAGCAUCGGCUAACUCCGUGCCAGCAGCCGCGGUAAUACGGAAGGUCCGGGCGUUAUCCGGAUUUAUUGGGUUUAAAGGGAGCGUAGGCCGGUCUUUAAGCGUGCCGUGAAAUUUUGUGGCUCAACCAUGAGAGUGCGGCGCGAACUGGAGACCGUGAGUGCGCGGAAGGCAGGCGGAAUUCGUGGUGUAGCGGUGAAAUGCUUAGAUAUCACGAAGAACCCCGAUUGCGAAGGCAGCCUGCCGCAGCGUUACUGACGCUGAAGCACGAAAGUGUGGGUAUCGAACAGGAUUAGAUACCCGAGUAGUC